rnacentral:rRNA from 1 species
CGGGGGGCAGCAGUGAGGAAUUUUGCGCAAUGGGGGAAACCCUGACGCAGCAACGCCGCGUGAGUGAAGAAGGCUUUCGGGUCGUAAAGCUCUGUCAAGAGGGAAGAAAGUGGGAGAUGGUAAUACUGUAUUCUAUUGACGGUACCUCUGAAGGAAGCACCGGCUAACUCCGUGCCAGCAGCCGCGGUAAUACGGGGGGUGCAAGCGUUAUUCGGAUUUAUUGGGCGUAAAGAGCGCGUAGGCGGUUUAUCAAGUCAGAUGUGAAAGCCCUGGGCUCAACCUGGGAAGUGCAUUUGAAACUAGUAGACUUGAGUAUGGGAGAGGGAAGUGGAAUUCCUGGUGUAGAGGUGAAAUUCGUAGAUAUCAGGAGGAACACCGGUGGCGAAGGCGACUUCCUGGACCAAUACUGACGCUGAGGCGCGAAGGCGUGGGGAGCAAACAGGAUUAGAUACCCUAGU